CCUACGGGUGGCAGCAGUGAGGAAUAUUGGUCAAUGGGCGCGAGCCUGAACCAGCCAAGUCGCGUGAGGGAAGACGGUCCUGUGGAUUGUAAACCUCUUUUGUCGGGGAACAAAAGCCGCCACGCGUGGCCUUCCGAGAGUACCCGAAGAAAAAGCAUCGGCUAACUCCGUGCCAGCAGCCGCGGUAAUACGGAGGAUGCGAGCGUUAUCCGGAUUUAUUGGGUUUAAAGGGUGCGCAGGCGGAAGAUUAAGUCAGCGGUAAAAUUGAGAGGCUCAACCUCUUCGAGCCGUUGAAACUGGUGUGCUUGAGUGAGUGAGAAGUAGGCGGAAUGCGUGGUGUAGCGGUGAAAUGCAUAGAUAUCACGCAGAACUCCGAUUGCGAAGGCAGCAUACCGGCGCUCAACUGACGCUCAUGCACGAAAGUGUGGGUAUCGAACAGGAUUAGAUACCCCAGUAGUC
rnacentral:rRNA from 1 species